rnacentral:lncRNA from 1 species
UGGGAUAGCUCUGUCAUCACGGACCUGAAGAACACUGGUUGGAACAAACUCUGAAGGCCUUCAUAGUCUGCCAAGGAACUUGAAGAGUGGAGAGAGUGGGGUGAAGCGUGGAACUGCUGGCACCGGAGGGAGUCAUGUUGGAUUGAUGUGUGUUCUAAUUUCAUUUCUGUUGCUCUGAUAAAAUAUCUUGACAAAAACAAUUUAGGGGAGAAAGGGUUUAUUAGAUUAUAAUUCCAGGUCACAGCUGAUCAUUAUAGGGAAGACAAAGUAGGAACUUGAAGCAGCUCGUCUCAUACAUCGUCAAGAAGAAAAAGAGAGCCAAACAUUGUGGCACAUACCUUCACUCCAAGAAAUUUGGAAGCAGAGGCAGGUGGCUCUCUGGUAGGCCAGCCUGAUGUACAGAGCAAGUUCCAGGCUAGCCAGAGCUAUAUAGUGAGAUUGUGUCUCAACAAAGAGGAAAAAAAUAGAGAAAAAAUAUAUAUGCUUACUUGUACUUGACCCCCUCUCUACACUUAAAGAGUCUAGGAUCACCUGCCUAGGGAAUGAUGCUGCCUACAGUGGGCUUGGAUCUUCCUAUGCCAAUUAAUAUAAUCAAUAUAUCCAUCCACAGAUAUACAUAGGUCAACCUGAUCGAGAUGAUCCCUCACUAACACUCUUUCUAAAUGAUCCAAGAUUGUGUCAGGUUGACAGUGCUAAGCAAUAUAGUAUGGCAAUUCCUCCUCCGGUUGGGAAAAGCGAAGCAUCCUAUAAAUAGCCUCACUGAGUGGUUCUUGCUGCUGUGACUCUUGUUUACAUUUCCAUGAUUUAGGAUGAGUCAGGUAUGAAGGGGACUAAGUGCUAUGCAUGCUGUUAUAGGAGACUCAUGGGAAACACCACUUUAAUGAAGCUUGAGAGACACAGGAUUGCCAAGCAGUGAUUUCCCAGUCUCUUUAUGGGACCAGAUGGAAUUAAUUGUAUGUGGCAAUUAUCCUUUAGCAUGGUCUGCUGAGGUGUUUGGCUGCUUUUUCAGAUAUGUAGCAAAAAAGGAUAAAGAACACAUCCUUCUUAUAGCCCCUCAUCCCUUUUAUUUGAACCUGUGCUUUCUUGCCUACUUUAAGCAAACAAGGGGUAGAGUGUUCUUUUGUACCUCCAAACAAGACAAAAGAAGUUGUAAUUACACUCCACUGUAACUGACAGUUUCUUCCAGGGAUGAGGAUUAAGAAGCCUUAGAAAGUCUAUUUGGACAUAUAGUCUAUUAAAUGAUGGGGCUCAGGUCCUUGUAGAGAGGCAAUAAAGACCUCUGUCACCAAGCAUGUUGGGUCUCUUCUGAGAGUUGGGCUUGAUUUGCUGCUGCUGAUUAUCUGGACUUUAUUAAGCUUUUGAAUUAGUGGGGAAUUAGGAAUGUGCCCUGUGCUUUGGGAACUCCUCUUUGACUCAUCACUACGUCUUGGUGUCCUGGGAUUUCCUUCUUACUCUUGUCUCUGAAUGAAAAGAGAGGGAGGUAGCAUGAGAUGGGGGACUGUACAGCACCCACAUGCUCAGUCUUUCAACUGAGGAACGUAGGUGUUUACUGUGCAUCGACUCCUAAAUCCAGGGCUUUGCCUAUACGAUCUCAGUGAAUCUUACCAAGCCUCAUCUCCAUAAUAUAGACACAUCAACAAAAGGAUUUUUUCCCCUGUUAUUAUGAUAAAAUGGCCUGGCAAAAAUAAUGGUUGAUUUUGGCUCACAGUUCAAGGGUAUUGUUCAUCAUGGAGGAAGUCAUAGCAUGAGAAGCUUGAGAGCUGCUGGCCACAUGACCUCGGCAGACAAGCCGUGGAGAGCAGCAGAUGCGCACAGCUCACUUUCUCCUUUGCAUGAAGUCCAGGACACUACCCAGGGAAGGGUGCCACCCUACUUUAUGGUGGCUCUUCUUACAUCAAUUAACUUAAUCACCUCACAGGCAUCCUCCAGGGGUAACUCGAUCUAAAUAACCCCUCCUAGGGAUAAUUGGAGCUAUGUCUUCUAGAUAAUUUCAGAUCUUGUCAAGUUGAUACCAAAGAGCUAUGGUUGUCAAAUUAAAAAAUCCGAACCAGACUCAAUGGGAAAUCUUCAGCCAUAGUAGCCAGAGAAGCAAAUCUAUGCCUUGCUCAGUCAUUAUCAGAGAAGCUUCCUGUUCCAGAAGAUGGAAACAAGUAGAGAUCCAGAGCCAGAGUAUAUGCAGAGAAUGAGAGACCGCAGAACACUCAACCUUAAGAGGGACGUCUCCAUAAAAAUCCCUCCUCUCUGGCUCAGGGAACUUUGCAGAAGAGGAGGCUGAAAAGGUGCAGGAGGCAGAAGGGAUGGAGGGCACCAAGAAAUCAAGGCCUUCUAGACACAACUGGGCUGGCAUACAAUGGAAUCACAGAGGGCAAGACAGCAUGCCUAGGGCCUGCUCAAAUGGGGUCCUAGAGCCAAGAGAAGUGGACACAUGACCCCAACCCUAACCCAGAAGCUGUCUCAAGUAAUAGCUAUGCACAGAUGAAAAGUUAGUUUUCUCUAAGAGAGUCUUAUGGGGAGACAAGCCACUCUCGAUCCCCAUGCCCAGAAGUAGAUGACCAACAUACAUUCAACAGUUUCUUUUGAGGCUCUUUGUCUUAUAAUGUUAAGUCAAGGCUUCUUUGGUUUGCUUUAACCUUACAGGUCCUUUGUGUAUCUAUUAUGGCUUCUGGUUUUGUGUGUGUUUGGGAUUCCUGUGUGGGUAAACGAGUCUCUGCACCUGUGAGUUUCUUGUGCUUUUUUUUCUUUGGCUCUCUUUAUUGUUUGGUUGUUUUGUUUUAUUCUGUUUUUGAUUAAUUUUAUUUUAUUAACACUUCUUAGAUGUCUGUUUGUUUCUUAGGUAGAGUCAGAAAGGGUGUGGAACAGGUUGGGAGGCAGGGCAGUGGGGAAGAACUGAGAGGGGUAGGGGAAGGAAACUAUCACUAGAAUAUAUUGUUUUCUAAAGCUGAGCCAUGCUCUUCAGAUGGAAAAGGGUUGCUUGGUGAUCGGUCCCUGGGCUCUACUGAUCAAAUCAAGGCCUCUCAACCCCCUAUGUUCCAUUCUGUGCUUAUCCGACCCUUAGCCAGUGACUUGUCCUAGAACAUUGGCAAAUCUCAGCUGCGACCAGAGGUCAGUGUUGACAUCCCACAACAAAAAGAGAUUUAUUGUGUGUAAGCAGAAAAGUCAGGUUACCCCAUAGGUUAUAGUCUGUUUGAUGUGUGAUUAUAAAUUAUAGGCAAAUUAUAAGUUAUAAGAGUAAGUAUAUUGAAAGAUGAUUGUCAACUUAUUAACAGCGACUUUUUCCCCCUAGGGAAAGACUGGAGAUUCAUUUUUCUUUCUUUGUAAUUUUCUUUAUUGUUUGACCCUUACUCUGAGCAUUUGUAAUUAAAAUAAACUAUUGUAGAAGAC